rnacentral:rRNA from 1 species
GAUGAACGCUGGCGGCGUGCCUAAUACAUGCAAGUCGAGCGAACAGACGAGGAGCUUGCUCCUCUGACGUUAGCGGCGGACGGGUGAGUAACACGUGGAUAACCUACCUAUAAGACUGGGAUAACUUCGGGAAACCGGAGCUAAUACCGGAUAAUAUAUUGAACCGCAUGGUUCAAUAGUGAAAGACGGUUUUGCUGUCACUUAUAGAUGGAUCCGCGCCGCAUUAGCUAGUUGGUAAGGUAACGGCUUACCAAGGCGACGAUGCGUAGCCGACCUGAGAGGGUGAACGGCCACACUGGAACUGAGACACGGUACAGACUCCUACGGGAGGCAGCAGUAGGGAAUCUUCCGCAAUGGGCGAAAGCCUGACGGAGCAACGCCGCGUGAGUGAUGAAGGUCUUCGGAUCGUAAAACUCUGUCAUUAGGGAAGAACAAAUGUGUAAGUAACUAUGCACGUCUUGACGGUACCUAAUCAGAAAGCCACGGCUAACUACGUG